GGCCGUUAGGCAGAACUACACUGCGUGUGCGGCAGGCUCAAUUUGUAUCCUUCGGGAGUUGUAAUUUGUAGGUUGGGAGACCCCGCGGCUAGUGGCACCAAGUCCCUUGGAACAGGGCGCCUUAGAGGUGAGAGCCCCGUAGGUACCACAACACCGUCUUGUGUCUCCUCUCCAAAGAGUCGAGUUGUUUGGGAAUGCAGCUCAAAGUGGGUGGUAAAUUCCAUCUAAAGCUAAAUACCGGCGAGAGACCGAUACGAACAAGUACAGUGAUGGAAAGAUGAAAAGCACUUUGAAAAGAGAGUGAAACAGUACGUGAAAUUGUUGAAAGGGAAGGGCUUGCAAGCAGACACGGCCUUCGUGCCGGGCCAGCAUCGGUUGCUAGGGUGGAUAAGGAACAAGGAAUGUAGCUCCUCGGAGUAUUAUAGCCUUGCGCGAUACACCCACUGGCGACCGAGGCCUGCGGUAUUCCUACCUAGGAUGCUGGCGUAAUGGUUGCAAGCCGCCCGUCUGAAACACGGACCACUGCAUAUCAAUAAGAGGCGGAAAAACAGCCCCUCUUCUUGAAAAAAAAAAAACCACCUCUUUUUAAAAAAAAAAAAAACACUUUUUUUUUUUUUAAAAAAAAAAAAACCCUUUUUUUUUUUAAAAAAAAAAAAGACGUUUUUUUUUUUAUAAAAAAAAAACACAUUUCUUUUUUUAGAAAAGAAAAGAUAU
rnacentral:rRNA from 1 species